GACGAACGCUGGCGGCGUGCUUAACACAUGCAAGUCGAACGGAAAGGCCCUGCUUUUGUGGGGUGCUCGAGUGGCGAACGGGUGAGUAACACGUGAGUAACCUGCUCUUGACUUUGGGAUAACUUCAGGAAACUGGGGCUAAUACCGGAUAGGAGCUCCUGCUGCAUGGUGGGGGUUGGAAAGUUUCGGCGGUUGGGGAUGGACUCGCGGCUUAUCAGCUUGUUGGUGGGGUAGUGGCUUACCAAGGCUUUGACGGGUAGCCGGCCUGAGAGGGUGACCGGCCACAUGGGUACUGAGAUACGGACCAGACUCCUACGGGAGGCAGCAGUGGGGAAUAUUGCACAGUGGGCGGAAGCCUGAUGCAGCAACGCCGCGUGCGGGAUGACGGCCUUCGGGUUGUAAACCGCUUUCGCCUGUGACGAAGCGUGAGUGACGGUAAUGGGUAAAGAAGCACCGGCUAACUACGUG
rnacentral:rRNA from 1 species